rnacentral:rRNA from 1 species
AUUGAACGCUGGCGGCAUGCCUUACACAUGCAAGUCGAACGGCAGCAUGAUCUAGCUUGCUCGAUUGAUGGCGAGUGGCGCACGGGUGAGUAAUACAUCGGAACGUGCCCUGUAGUGGGGGAUAACUAGUCGAAAGAUUAGCUAAUACCGCAUACAACCUGAGGGUGAAAGUGGGGGACCGCAAGGCCUCAUGCUAUAGGAGCGGCCGAUGUCUGAUUAGCUAGUUGGUGAGGUAAAGGCUCACCAAGGCGACGAUCAGUAGCUGGUCUGAGAGGACGAUCAGCCACACUGGGACUGAGACACGGCCCAGACUCCUACGGGAGGCAGCAGUGGGGAAUUUUGGACAAUGGGCGAAAGCCUGAUCCAGCAAUGCCGCGUGUGUGAAGAAGGCCUUCGGGUUGUAAAGCACUUUUGUCCGGAAAGAAAUGGCUCUGGUUAAUACCUGGGGUCGAUGACGGUACCGGAAGAAUAAGGACCGGCUAACUACGUG